rnacentral:lncRNA from 1 species
GACCUCCAAAACACUACACGAACACGCUCUUAACCCCAAAAUUACCCAAUAGAGCUAACAGAACCAUCAGAUUUCCAUUCCGAGGUUGUCUCCUUACUGUUCCGACUACGGUCAACUUUCCAACACUUAAGCUCUCAUUUAGGUAUUAAAUGUCCCAAAAAUCUUCAAAACUUAAAAGCGAGCAUCCCGACAAAUCAAAUUAGCAUAAUAAACUUGGGAAAAGCAGUUAAUAGGGGAUCAGGGCAUUAAUUCUUAAGACGACUGGCCGGGUCAUCACAUAUUUGCGGAAAAGUAACAUCUAUUUACAAACUUGAAGCUUUCAAAAUUCAAAGAAAACUAACAACAAAAAGGUCAUGUGUACACAUAAUAAGAACUAAACUAAGGUGCAGAAAUCCACUAAUUUCAGAAGUGCAGAAAUAACAUUCAAUCAACUUCUUUAUUAUAGUUUUCCAGCUCAAAUAAAACUUCAUGUUCUUCCAUUUUUCAUACACUGAGAUGUGUGGUAAAUACCUG